AGGGUUGUGGCUCAGUGGUACAGUGCUCACCUAGCAUGCCUGAGGCACUGAGUUCGAUUCUCAGCAUCACAU
rnacentral:tRNA from 1 species